GUGCCAGCAGCCGCGGUAAUACGUAGGGUGCGGGCGUUAAUCGGAAUUACUGGGCGUAAAGCGUGCGCAGGCGGCUUUGCAAGACAGAGGUGAAAUCCCCGGGCUCAACCUGGGAACUGCCUUUGUGACUGCAAGGCUAGAGUACGGCAGAGGGGGAUGGAAUUCCGCGUGUAGCAGUGAAAUGCGUAGAUAUGCGGAGGAACACCGAUGGCGAAGGCAAUCCCCUGGGCCUGUACUGACGCUCAUGCACGAAAGCGUGGGGAGCAAACAGGAUUAGAUAC
rnacentral:rRNA from 1 species